rnacentral:tRNA from 1 species
GUUUUAAUAAUUUAAAUAAAAUAUUGAUUUUGUAAAUCAAAAAUGAAAAUAAAUUUCUUAAAACA